rnacentral:pre_miRNA from 1 species
CUUUUUCUACCCUCCGUCCAACAAAAGAUGUUUCAAGUUUAUCAAAAUUUGAAUGUAUUUAGACAUGACUUAGUAUAUAAAUGCAUUUAAAUUUGGUCAAAGUUGAGACAUCCUUUGUUGGACGGAGGGAGUAAUAU